AGGGUAGAGAGUGAAGUACUAUCUAGCUAUAGUAAAUUAUGUUUCUGCUUUUCCUUAGUCUGCUGAUUUUUCCAUUUUGUGGUGUAAUAAUACUGCAGUGAAAGAGUUCAGAAGGAAUAAGAGGAGAACCAUGCGGAGAAGGACCUUCUGUGUCUGAAACUAUUACUACAUAGAUGACAGUAGGGGAACACUGAAGGACACUCAAGACCAGGAGUGGAUCAGCCAGAUUCACACUUUUUGAUGUCAGUAAGAGCAGAGGUUGAAAUGCCAGUUAUCUCAUUUAAAUGGAGGCUAAACCUCUAAUUUCCACCUGGGUUUGCUAAAUAUUUGGCUUGAAGCAGAACUAGAAGGUCAACACAGAAAUACCACGUGUUUCAUGGCAAGAAUAUGUGCCUCUGUUUUCUACUUUAAUUCAAUGAAUUUCCUUAACACUGAAUGAAAUGACGUAAGAAGCAUCUCCACAACACUACAUUUCCAUUCAAACAAAAUUAUUCUGGAACUGAACUUGACAAUUGUUUUUACAAAUAACUCUGAAUCAAUAAUCUCUGGGGUUUUUUUGGUGGAUAAGUUGUUUGCCAAAAUGAUUGUGAAUAAACGUGUUUAAGGACAAUCUUAACAGUUCUAAGUACUAAAGGUUCUUCAGUUAUGCAUAAUUUUUCAUACUGCUGUUACUGCAAAAUUGUUACUGAUCAACAAGGUGAUAUUAUAACUUCCGUGUUGCUAUAACCUUUUUAAGGUUGUGUGUAUUUUAUGUUUUUAAUCUAGUUGACAUCUCUGUGGUUUUUUUUAACUGUCAUAAAACAUUUUGCAGCCAGAAUCAGGCCCCUUUUAUGAUAUUAAUUUUGUAUUGCAGAAGCAUGUUACAUUUCAAUA